rnacentral:misc_RNA from 1 species
UUUCCGUAGGUGAACCUGCGGAAGGAUCAUUAAAAAAUUGGACUCCAUUGGUGAGAUCAUUAAUAAUCCCUACCCUUUGUGAAUUUGUUUGUUUGAAUAAUUUUUUUUCCAAAAAAAAUUAUUGAAUGUCUUUCCUUGUUUUGGUGGAGCUUGUAAAGUGAAACCAGGCAGGGGAAUGGCAAACAAUAAUUAUUUUGAAAAAGACCUUUUUUUAAAAUUAAACUUUUUGUAUUCAUUUGUCUAAAAUUAAUUUUUAUAAUAUAAAAACAACUUUUGACAAUGGAUCUCUUGGUUCUCGCAACGAUGAAGAACGCAGCAAAAUGCGAUAAGUAGUGUGAAUUGCAGAAUACGUGAAUCAUCGAAUCUUCGAACGCAUAUUGCACUUUUUUAGUUUACUAAAAAAAGUAUGUCUGUUUGAGUAUCAGUAAAAUAUUCUCAUAAAAAACAUUGUUUUUUUUAUGGUUAUGAGUGUUUUACAACGAUAACAAGUUGUUUCACUUUAAAUUCUUUGUUAUCAAAAAAAUCAUUAAAAGCUAAUUUUAAAGAUUUUUUAAAAUUGGAUAAAAUUUUCCCGUAAAAAGGAAUAACCUAAACAAUUUUAAAAAAUUAAAAUUGGUUUGAUUUUUUUUGAAACCCAAAGGAAAAAAAAAACGAAAUUAACUUGAUCUCAAAUCAGAUAAGAGUACCCGCUGAACUUAAGCAUAUCAAUAAGCGGAGGAAAAGAAACUAACUAGGAUUCCCUCAGUAACGGCGAGUGAAGCGGGAAGAGCUCAAAUUUGAAAUCUUCAAGGUUUUACCUUGACGAAUUGUAGUCUAAAGAAGUGUUUUCUGUUGGAGUUUUGGUAAAAGUUCUUUGGAAAAGGACAUCAUAGAGGGUGAGAAUCCCGUAUUUGACCAUUAUCUCCAGCUUUGUGAUACACUUUCAAAGAGUCGGAUUGUUUGGGAAUGCAGUCCAAAAUGGGUGGUAAAUUUCAUCUAAAGCUAAAUACUGGCGAGAGACCGAUAGCGAACAAGUACCGUGAGGGAAAGAUGAAAAGAACUUUGAAAAGAGAGUUAAACAGUACGUGAAAUUGUCAAAAGGGAAGCGUUUGACACCAGUGUUGUUUUCUCGAAAAUCAAUUAAAAAAGGCCGGAUUUUGUGUUGUAUUGACGUUAUCAGCUUUCUGCACUCUUUUCUUGUCUUUUUUAAUGCACUUUUCGUUUAACAAGUCAACAUCAAUUUCUUUUGUUGUAAAAGGGUCAUUGGAAGGUGGCUUUCUUUUCGGAGAAAGUGUUUAUAGCCUUUGGCCUCUGCAAUCGGAGAGAUUGAGGUCUGCAGCGUAGAUCCUUCGGGGUUAGAUACAUUUGUGCUAAGUUAUAGCCUUUCAUAGACAACUUGUUGACUAUGAUCAGUCAUGUAGCUUACUCGCUUAUGCUAUUU